rnacentral:rRNA from 1 species
AUUGAACGCUGGCGGCAUGCCUUACACAUGCAAGUCGAACGGUAACGGGUCCUUCGGGAUGCCGACGAGUGGCGAACGGGUGAGUAAUAUAUCGGAACGUGCCCAGUAGUGGGGGAUAACUGCUCGAAAGAGCAGCUAAUACCGCAUACGACCUGAGGGUGAAAGGGGGGGAUCGCAAGACCUCUCGCUAUUGGAGCGGCCGAUAUCAGAUUAGCUAGUUGGUGGGGUAAAGGCCUACCAAGGCAACGAUCUGUAGUUGGUCUGAGAGGACGACCAGCCACACUGGGACUGAGACACGGCCCAGACUCCUACGGGAGGCAGCAGUGGGGGACUUUGGACAAUGGGAGCAAGCCUGAUCCAGCAAUGCCGCGUGCAGGAAGAAGGCCUUCGGGUUGUAAACUGCUUUUGUCAGGGAAGAAAUCUUCUGGGCUAAUACCCCGGGAGGAUGACGGUACCUGAAGAAUAAGCACCGGCUAACUACGUGCCAGCCGCCGCGGUAA